GUCCGCCAUGGCGGCGGUGCUCCCAUGUUCUCAGGGCACGCCGAAGGUCGUGGAGACGCUGCACCACGGAUCGGACGCCGCAGAAGAGUAACCAGCUUCCUGUUCCUCAUCAAACAUCAUCCGGUGUCCCUUCACGGUGCAUGCCACUUCUACGUAAGGAAUAUUGUUAUUUUUAAUACAGUUUUUUUUGUCCAGUAAGGCAUGCAUGUAUUAAUAUUUUACCUAUUUUCAGCAAUAUAUAUUUAAUGAAGCAAUUCAGGUUGGAAACAUUGCUUAGGGGUGCAACGGCAGUUUCCGUCCCAGGAGAUUUUAGUCAGCAUCCUAUUGGUUACUUAACCUCUAGACCAUCUUCGGCCUGUCAGUCUCAUUUCUUAAAAGAAAGAAGAAAAAACACCAUCCCCUGUUAGUGUCUCCUGGAAUUAUCACAGGCCAAAAAAACUGUACAUGAACCUGCUGCUGAUGCACUUUGACAGAGGAGAAGGCGGCAAGCAGGAGACUGACCCACCUUUCCAGCAUUUAAUUAAGGGAUUAAUAUAUUAUGUCAUACCAGUCAAAACACAACACGGAUGAUUUAUUACGCUGUCCGUGGAACAUAUUUCACCACUGUGUAGCUGAAUACAAGAUAUACAAGUGUGAAUUAAAAAAGGCCUCUUCUCAGAGUCUUAAAAAGUAAUUGAAGGAGUGCAUUAUGUGCAAGUGCGAGUGUGUGAAAUUAAUUCCCGAGUUUAAAAAGGACAAAGGGAACGGUGACAUCGGGCUGCAGGAGGGAAAUGCCAGAGGGCCAAGCCUUUGGGCUAUUUGUUUAAAUCAAUGUCCAGCCACACAUUUAUUUCACCUUUAUGCACGUUUUAAUCAGUCUGAGCUAUGACUGAUGGCAGGCACUGCUAGUUUGAGAUUGUCAUGUAAAUUUACAAGGGCGGUUCAUUCUCCUGCACAAGCUAUGGCGGGGGCACUGUUGCCUGGCAGUAAAUCUCCAUGUUUUCCAUUAUAUGAACAAUUGCAUGAUUAAAUUAUACUCACACUUACUACUAUAUAAUUUUACUUGGCUGACUGUAAACCUUGACAUUUUUCAACUGCUAAUCAGUCCAUUAAUUGAUGGAGCACCUCCCUCCAGUCAUCGUGACUCCACCUCUCAGCAAGAAGUGACCAAUCAGAGGAGCGAUCUGCGGUGCCAUCCCCCCCUGGUCGCACGCUGGUUUUACACCCUGGGGUGUCAGGCUGACGCGUCUCUGCUAGAUUCUGGUCCGCUUCUCCUCUCCUCUCCUCUGCUCUGCUCUUCGGGUUCCUGUACGGCUGCGGAGUGAUGGACGGGCACAGGCAGAGCACGCGUGCGGAAACCCGGCCAGCCGCAUGGAGAAGCAGCAGGGCCGGAGAGUCGCGGGAGGGAAGUCGCCGGGCAGGACAGCAGGCCGCCCAUCACUCAGCUCUGUCAGUCAGGGUCCACUAGCCACCCUCUGUGUCCUCACCUACAGCCCUUCCCCACAACGAGCCGCGUGCUGCUGUACUUCCUGUACGCAUCCCUACCUUCCUCCCUGAAGUGCUCAGAUAUGAAAUAACAUCUGUGACACAACUGGCACAAAACACUUCAGCUGGAAAACCCACCCAUCCAGAAAUUACUCCCUCAACCCAAAAAAAACCACAAACACACGUUUGUAUUCAUAUCUCUGUGGGGACCAUCCAUUCUUUUCUAUGGGAAAGACCCUAAUACCAACAAUGACAACCCCCUACCCAAGCCAAACCUUAUCCAUAAAUAACCAAACAAAACACAAGACGUUUGGCAUUUUUAGUUUUUUGAUUGCAGAUUUUUAUAAAAUUGAAUUUCCCCUUAUGGGGUUCAAAAACUGGUCCCCACAAAGUCAAAAUAAUAGGAUUCUAUCACACUGUGGGGACAUUUGGUCCCCACAAUAUAAUAUAUACAUGACCCACACAGACACACACAGCAUUUUAGCUUAACACAACCCGUCCCCCAUCAUCAAUUAUCCUCUCAUUAUUAUUCUUCUGUGUCCCGUCUGAAGCUUUCUCUCUUAGCGAGGUUUUAAAAUAAAUAAAUACAAACAAACCCAGCCACAGGCGAGGAGACAAAAGCAGAGAAAGAGACGGUCACGCUCCGCGCCAAAAAGAAAAAAACCCGAAAGCUUGUGCGCCUCCAUCGUUCAGCCUGUCGUCUGGGGGCCUCCGCUUAGGACUGAGCCUCAUUAAGAGUCAUGAGGUGUGGCGGAAGGACUGAGGACCGCCCAGACCCGGGAGAUGCCCACCACCGUACCCGCCCCACUGCACUCCGUUACGAGGGGAAGCCAGCAAACGGACUGUGACACGUCGGGCUUCUGAUUCAAUUCCCACUUUAAUUAGUUCCUAUGGUGAGAAUACAUUAUUGAUGGAGCCUCGCUGUGCAUACAUUUAAUUCAAUCUACACAAACUCUUUGUGUACCGAUCCUUAACAAACACAAUUCGGCUAAGUACAGAGAACAAGGGCCUCCUUGAUGUUACAUUUUGAUUAGGCUCCAGAAUUACCCUCAGGACAAGGCGUUUGAAAGACGUGCUUUUUUUUUUGUGUGGUCUGAGUUUUCAUUAUUAAUCACACGGGGGGAUUCAAAAAAAAGAAAAGAAAAAAAAGCCCUGUUUGUAUUGUCAGAGCUUUUGCGGGACCCAUACUUAUCAAAAUGUCGGGCCGAAGGAGCACGAUGCCAUGGUGACACCGAGAUGGGGGCAUAGACGGCUUUUUACUUCCUGAGAUGAGAGGGACGAUGUCGCAGGAGGAGCAUGGAGGGCUUUUAAGGGGGUGCAGGUUAGGUCAUUGACCACGGGAAACAGAGACGCCCGAUAAAAAACAAGCAGGCAUGCAAACCGUCAAGUCAAUAAUUGUCCAGAGUCCACAAAAUACAAAUACAAUGGGGGGGGGGGGGCUACUCAACUAUUAGUUUGCAAGGCUUAGGGUGUGAGAGGACAGGGGCUCUGAAUCCUACACAUUCUAUCUUGUAUGCUUUAAAAAAAUAAGGUUUAUUUAGCUUAGGCCUGAGGAAUACCAUGGCGAAGGACGGGAAGAAGGCUUAAGGGUGGAGGCGAUUGUAGGGAGGCAUGGAAAUACGGAGAGGCUUUUUAUGGGGGGGGGGGAUGCUGAUGCAGAAGCAUGAAGGGUGGUAUGGGCAAGUCCUGUCCUUGCAAGCCUUUCAGGGUGACUCAGCUCAGUAAAAGGAAGAGUGCGCAUUUGGGCCUUAAUUCAUCAACGUCUGGAUGGUGCGCGGCCUCCUCACUGGUGACGGGAGAAACGAGCCUUUGAAGCGAGCGGCGGCUGAGAUUACCGUGCACCGUCAGGCGCCGACAGGCUCAGGCCUUCCCUCAUUGGUUACCGCGCCCCUUCCCGGAGGUGUUACCGGGCACUGAUUGACAGGCCACGCUAAAUGGCAUCCAAGGAGAGAAACCAUUCAACUCUGAGAUAACCUAAGAUUGCUGACAGACACACAAGCAAAGAAGCAAGCUGGCUCUUCAGGCUGCCCUUUUGAGACACGCCAGGGGAAUUCUCUUCGGAUACAGGGAAGCCGGCGUGGGCAGAGAGGAGACGAUAGCAUGGGAGGUCUGCAUACUGUACUCACGUUGAGUUCCCCAGGACACAGUAAGAGCAGCAUUACCUGGACUUUCAAGCUGGGGCGCAAACGGAUCAGCCAGAAAAAAAAAGUAUAAUUCCAGGGUCAUUUAGAUUAGAUUAUAAUAAUAUGAUGUAUGUGAAACAGGGGUUUUGUUCAAAACAAUAAAAAAAGCCACGUCACAUCAUGA